rnacentral:rRNA from 1 species
AUGCCGGGCGCGAGCGGGAAGCGGUCCGCGUCAGAGGAGAAGACCCUGCUGUCGGAGCCGGAGCUCAUGUCUGAGGAGGAGGCGCUGCUGGCGGAUCGGGAGCUCACGUCCGAGGAGGAGGCGCUGCUGGUGGGUCGGCAGCUCAUGUCUGAGGAGAAGCCGCUGCAGGCUGAUCCAGAGCUCAUGUUUGAGGUGGACAAGGCACGGCAAGUUGAUCUGGAUGUCAACCUGGGAAGGGUGUUCACCGCGUUGAUGCCAUUGCUUAGAAAUAUAAUGCCGCAGCCCACAUUGAGGGAGAUGACACUGCUGACAGAGCCAGAGCCAGAGCCAGAGCCAGCUCUGCAAUUGGAGGAGGUGCUGCUACCAGAGCUGGAGCUCACAUUGCAAGAUGAUGCUCUGCACAUGGAGCCGGUAACAGAUACAAAGCUCACCUUGGAGGAGAAUGCGCAGCAGAUGAGGCUGGUAGCCGAGACUGAAACAGAGUCAGAUACAGAGUCAGACAUAGCGCUCACCUUGGAGGAGAAUGCGCAGCAGAUGAAGCUCGUAACCGACACAGAGACAGAGACAGGGACAGGGACAGGGACAGAGACGGAGUCAGAGUCAGAGUCAGAGCUUGCAUUAGAGGAAAUGUUGAUGAUGAUUGAGCCAGACCCGGAGAUGACAGAGGAGGAGAAGGCGCUGCGGGCUCUUCAUAUUGUUUGCUGCAAAGAGUUCACCGAAUAUGACCCUAGAAAGAAUGCUUUUGUCUGUACCCGCUUCAACAGCUUUAACAUUGCCUUCUUUGACCUGAAUGAAGAGUCUGCGGCUAUCCUUGGGCCGCCACUUAAAGAUCUACCCUAUUCUCAGUGGGAGCCGACCGAGGAAUCAUCGGUUAAUGUUAUCUCCCUGAAGAUAAAUGAAUCUGAUGUGCCCUACCCAAUCAACAUAUUUGGUACCGUUCUUGCGAGGGACGAGGUCGACUACAAAUGUGUCUAUCUGUUCAGGCGGGAAAGGGAUGAUUCCCAGUGCAUCAAUUCUGAGAAGGACAUGUUAACUCUGACAGGCCCAUCUCGAGGAUUUGUCGUAUCAGAUACAAUAUUUUUUGAGAUCAAUCUUAAAAUCAAGGGUGAUAACAUCACAGGUGACAGAGAUUUUAGCAAAGGUGUAAUAGAACACUAUCUUGUCCCCUUUGAAAGUCAACCCGCGACCUCGCUGCUACAUAGUUGGCUGAGUACCGUAGACAUAUCCUGUGGCAGUUACUCUUGA